rnacentral:misc_RNA from 1 species
UGGCUGGGAGCCCGAGCCCCACACCUGCCGGGCAGCAGGUGCUGGACGUCGACAGCUGCCUGGACUCAUCCGUGCUGGACAGCUCCUUCCUCACGUUCUCAGGCCUCCACGCUGAGGUGAGGGCUCUACUGGGGGUCCUGCCGCCUUGGCGCAGCUUGGACUCAAGACCCUGUGCACCUCUCAGCAGGCCUUUGCUGGACAGAUGAAGAGUGACUUGUUUCUGGAUGAUUCUAAGAGGUUAUCAAUACUCUGGCUGACCAUCGUCAUCGUGGGACUGACUUUGGUGGAAGUCCUUGGUUACUUAUCAUUACUGUGUUUCUGAGAAGUUAUAAAUUUGCCAUCUCCCUCUGCACAAGUUACCUUUGUGUGUCUUUCCUGAAGACUAUCUUCCCGUCUCAAAAUGGACAUGAUGGAUCCACGGAUGUACAGCAGAGAGCCAGGAGGUCCAACUGCCGUAGACAGGAAGGAAUUAAAAUUGUCCUGGAAGACAUCUUUACUUUAUGGAGACAGGUGGAAACCAAAGUUCGAGCUAAAAUCCGUAAGAUGAAGGUGACAACAAAAGUCAACCGUCAUGACAAAAUCAAUGGAAAGAGGAAGACCGCCAAAGAACAUCUGAGGAAACUAAGCAUGAAAGAACGUGAGCACGGAGAAAAGGAGAGGCAGG